UUGCGUUACUGAUAUUAGUUGGGCUUAAUUGCAUGAUGAUUUAAUGUGGUGUAACCACCUACUGUAAGGUCAAGCCUAAUGCAACUAAGGAUGGUAUGCUCUCUGAUAUGUAUGCCACAGCACUUACUGGGUGAUGUUUUGCCUCUUUACUUUAUAUGCCACUCUUUAGUAAGUAAUCCAUAUUGGAUAUAGUGAUAAUGAGAGCGGUCCUUACAAGUAAAAUGCAAUUAAACGUACUUCCUGUAUAUUACAGACUAUCGAAAGGAUAAAGCUCCCACUGCCUCCGUUGUCACUUUACAUUCAGAACGCCGUCCAAAUAGAAAUCAUUCCUACUGCUAGGUCACGAGAAGUGCUGCUGCUGGUGUUGGUAAUUCUAAAACAGUAGCUAUAAACUUUUCUUUUUGACACACUCUUUUACAAGAGAACUCCUGACGCCCAUCUCUAAAAACAGCUGUGUCAUGACAACUAAAUGCAUUAAACACCUUGCUCCUGUUGUACGUUUUAAGAUAUUUAAACAUGAAAUUCACUUGAAAUCAAGUCGUUCUUACCGAGGAUCCAUUCCUAAUUUGGAGUGAAGUCAAUAGAUAUUGUUCAUGUCGGGAUUUUCUCUUGGCUUAUAGGACAUGACCGUUUUCCCCCUGUUCCAUAGCUGCAAAGAACAGUAUGGGGAACCUUGCUGCUGUACAACCUGCUGUGAUUUUUAAGCAGGGGCAAUGCUGUGUUCUUAUUUUGUAUUUUCACUUGGUCUCUAUGUUGAUACAUCAUAUGUUCUCUUUCUGAUACUUAGUUUUAUAUAUACAGUAUAUAAAUAUAUAUUACAUAUUUUUCUAUAUUGAUGUUUACUAUCCUGGAAGUGGUGUGAUUAUGUAAUCAUUCUUAAUCAGUCAAAUUAUGUUAAUGCCGAGCUUUUUCUGAUAGUUGUAUUCACAUUUACAAUGACAAAACUAUUCAUUCAUAACUUAAUGUCUUCUUUGUUAAUAUUUAUACCCAAUGAUUAACUCUUCUCAGCACAUUUACUAUUAUUGGACAGACCAUGACUAGGGUUACAUACAGGCUGCAGCUAAUUAUCUGUAACAGUCAAACGUAAACCAUUUAAUAUGGGAAAUGACAUUCUAACGGCAGGUUCUUGCCGUUAGUAAAGAGCACAUGUAUCUUUCAUUUCACUUUGACUUCAGAACUUUUAAAUCUGUUAUUUUUUUAAA